AGGGGCUCUUGCGUCUGCGUGUCCUUGCGUCUCUCUGAAAACUCAGAAGCAUUAAAUACCCUAACGAAUUAUUUUAACCAAUUGCUUUGUUGAAAAGUGUGAUUAGUCUGAAGUUGUAUGUAGCUGGGUGAAGUGGGGGCAGGGGGGUUUUCGUGCUGCUAGAUGGUCCGCACACAGGGUGAGCGCGUACUGUCACUUUACAUCGCCAUGAGUUCACGUGGGAUUUGGAGCUGCAGAACGGGACCUGGCGGCUACCGAGGACGACACAGUGUUAGCGGUUAGCAUCGGAACAGCGCUGGGGAAACACCUGUUCAGCGGGUCAGCAGCAGAGUGACGAGCUGCCGGGGGUCGAGGUCGCACGUGCACGGAGCCGCGAGCGCAGGCGCUCCAGUGACUUUAUUGUUUCCGGGGCUUUUGGAGGAACGACAGUGAUGUGAGUGUUGAACAGCACGAGACCGAUGUGCAUGUUCUUUGUCUCUGUUUAACAGGAGGGCGUCACUACUGUUUUUUUUAUGUAGCCUAACUGUUAACUUUAUGUAAUUGUGAGCUCUAUUCCAUGUCAUACUGUUACUAGUUAGUAAAGAAGUUUAUUUGUUGUACACUGUCCCAAGUGUCUCCUUAAUUUGACACAUUAAGGCUGUGCUCCAGGAGUGCAGUCGGGGGAAAUAAAGAUUCCACAUUAAAGAGAAAUACAUUUA